rnacentral:tRNA from 1 species
GGGUGCUUAGCUCAGCUGGCAGAGCAUCGCCCUUACAAGGCGAGGGUCACAGGUUCGAUCCCUGUAGCACCCACCA